rnacentral:rRNA from 1 species
AGUGAACGCUGGCGGUAGGCCUAACACAUGCAAGUCGAACGGCAGCACAGUAAGAGCUUGCUCUUACGGGUGGCGAGUGGCGGACGGGUGCGGAAUACAUCGGAAUCUACUUUUUCGUGGGGGAUAACGUAGGGACACUUACGCUAAUACCGCAUACGACCUACGGGUGAAAGCAUGGGAUCUUCGGACCUUGCGCGAUUCAAUGAGCCGAUGUCGGAUUAGCUAGUUGGCGGGGUAAAGGCCCACCAAGGCGACGAUCCGUAGCUGGUCUGAGAGGAUGAUCAGCCACACUGGAACUGAGACACGGUCCAGACUCCUACGGGAGGCAGCAGUGGGGAAUAUUGGACAAUGGGCGCAAGCCUGAUCCAGCCAUACCGCGUGGGUGAAGAAGGCCUUCGGGUUGUAAAGCCCUUUUGUUGGGAAAGAAAAGCAGCAGGUUAAUACCCCGCUGUUCUGACGGUACCCAAAGAAUAAGCACCGGCUAACUUCGUG